rnacentral:rRNA from 1 species
AUUGAACGCUGGCGGCAGGCUUAACACAUGCAAGUCGAGCGGGGUGAUGGUGCUUGCACUAUCACUUAGCGGCGGACGGGUGAGUAAUGCUUAGGAAUCUGCCUAUUAGUGGGGGACAACAUCUCGAAAGGGAUGCUAAUACCGCAUACGUCCUACGGGAGAAAGCAGGGGAUCACUUGUGACCUUGCGCUAAUAGAUGAGCCUAAGUCGGAUUAGCUAGUUGGUGGGGUAAAGGCCUACCAAGGCGACGAUCUGUAGCGGGUCUGAGAGGAUGAUCCGCCACACUGGGACUGAGACACGGCCCAGACUCCUACGGGAGGCAGCAGUGGGGAAUAUUGGACAAUGGGGGGAACCCUGAUCCAGCCAUGCCGCGUGUGUGAAGGAGGCCUUAUGGUUGUAGAGCACUUGAAGCGAGGAGGAGGCUCUUUUGGUUAAUACCCAAGAUGAUUGGACGUUACUCGCAGAAUAAGCACCGGCUAGCUCUGUGCCAGCCGCCGCGGUAA